UGCAGCGACGCCGCGUGAGGGAUGAAGGCCUUCGGGUUGUAAACCUCUUUCAGUAGGGAAGAAGCGAAAGUGACGGUACCUGCAGAAGAAGCGCCGGCUAACUACGUGCCAGCAGCCGCGGUAAUACGUAGGGCGCAAGCGUUGUCCGGAAUUAUUGGGCGUAAAGAGCUCGUAGGCGGUUUGUCGCGUCUGGUGUGAAAACUCAAGGCUCAACCUUGAGCUUGCAUCGGGUACGGGCAGACUAGAGUGCGGUAGGGGUGACUGGAAUUCCUGGUGUAGCGGUGGAAUGCGCAGAUAUCAGGAGGAACACCGAUGGCGAAGGCAGGUCACUGGGCCGCAACUGACGCUGAGGAGCGAAAGCAUGGGGAGCGAACAGGAUUAGA
rnacentral:rRNA from 1 species